UACGUAGGGUCCGAGCGUUGUCCUGAAUUAUUGGGCGUAAAGGGCUCGUAGGCGGUUUGUCGCGUCGGGAGUGAAAACACCGGGCUUAACUCGGUGCUUGCUUUCGAUACGGGCAGACUGGAGGUAUGCAGGGGAGAACGGAAUUCCUGGUGUAGCGGUGAAAUGCGCAGAUAUCAGGAGGAACACCGGUGGCGAAGGCGGUUCUCUGGGCAUUACCUGACGCUGAGGAGCGAAAGCGUGGGGAGCGAACAGG
rnacentral:rRNA from 1 species